rnacentral:rRNA from 1 species
UACGGGGGGGGCAAGCGUUGUUCGGAAUUACUGGGCGUAAAGGGCUCGUAGGCGGCCAACUAAGUCAGACGUGAAAUCCCCAGGCUCAACCUGGGAACUGCGUCUGAUACUGGAUGGCUUGAAUCCGGGAGAGGGAUGCAGAAUUCCAGGUGUAGCGGUGAAAUGCGUAGAUAUCUGGAGGAAUACCGGUGGCGAAGGCGGCAUCCUGGGACGUGACUGACGCUGAGACGCGAAAGCGUGGGGAGCAAACAGG